AUCGCUUCUCGGCCUUUUGGCUAAGAUCAAGUGUAGUAUCUGUUCUUAUCAUUUAAUAUCUGAUACGUCCCCCAUCGGGGGACUACAUAUUAAAUGGAUUUUUCGAACAGGGAGUCGGGAAAUGGGGCUUGCUCCGUCCGCUCCACGCUCGACCCGGUAUUGCAGUACCUCCGGGAACGGUGGCAACACUU
rnacentral:snRNA from 1 species